CAAAGAGGAGGGAGGGAGAGAGAGAAUGUCCUGUGGUUGGCCAGUGUGAGUGGAAUUAUGCCCCUCUCUCUCUCUCUCUCUGCGCUCCUCUCUCUCUCUCUAUCAGCUGCCCUCCUCUCUUCCCCAAUAGCUAAUCUAGUAGUGGAGGAUUCUUUUUUAAAAUAUUUUUAUGCACCUCUCAGCUGAACCUCUCCUCAUCACCAGUGAUGGAGAUGAGGGAAAAUUUUGGAGCACUGUGUUUGGCCCGUAAUUGUGGCAAAAUUUAAUCCUGCUGUUGAUAAGUAGGCAGCUGCUGAGAGGAGCUUGCGUUCUUGCUCAUGACUCAUGAGGUCCACAGCAGUCAACCGGCCGGGAUUCCACGGAGGAACGCGGCGGAGGAAGCCACCAUGGGAGGAAGUCCUGGGAAUGGCGGUCUGUGGGGCCUCUCACGUGCGUGGGGCGGCGCGGCACGUGCGGCCACCCCGCUUAAUUCCCUGGGCGUCACUGUUUAGUGCUGCCUUUCCUGUUUGAACUUUUCCUUCGUGUGCGACGUGGCACCUGCUUCUUUGAUUUUCGGUAUAGUGUUGCUCAAUGUAAUUCCUUUCUUCACCUAUAAGCACUUCAAUGGCAUAGUUUUAACCUAA
rnacentral:lncRNA from 1 species